AGCUCCAAUAGCGUAUAUUAAAGUUGUUGCAGUUAAAAAGCUCGUAGUUGGAUUUCUAGCAGACGCGUCUGGUCUGCUCCGCGAGGAGUCGGUACUGAGUCGUCGUUUGUUAUCCUUGAGGAGAAUAUUCCUGGCAUUGAGUUGUCGGGAGUAGUAUCCUCAUCGUUUACUGUGAAAAAUUAGAGUGUUCAAAGCAAGCUUAGGCUCUGAAUAUAUUAGCAUGGAAUAAUAAGAUAAGACCUUGGUGGUUUAUUUUGUUGGUUUGCACGCCGAGGUAAUGAUUAAUAGGGAUAGUUGGGGGUAUUCGUAUUCAAUUGUCAGAGGUGAAAUUCUUGGAUUUAUGGAAGACGAACUACUGCGAAAGCAUUUACCAAGGAUGUUUUCA
rnacentral:rRNA from 1 species